AUCCAGCUGACGAGUCCUAAAUAGGAUAAAAUGCGCGUCCUGGAU
rfam:Schistosoma haematobium scaffold387_17, whole genome shotgun sequence.